rnacentral:rRNA from 1 species
CCUACGGGAGGCAGCAGUGAGGAAUAUUGGUCAAUGGCCGAGAGGCUGAACCAGCCAAGUCGCGUGAGGGAAGACGGUCCUACGGGUUGUAAACCUCUUUUGUCGGGGAGCAAAGCGAGUCACGUGUGACCGAAUGAGAGUACCCGAAGAAAAAGCAUCGGCUAACUCCGUGCCAGCAGCCGCGGUAAUACGGAGGAUCCGAGCGUUAUCCGGAUUUAGUGGGUUUAAAGGGUGCGUAGGUGGAUUGUUAAGUCAGUCGUGAAAGUUUGGGGCUCAACCGUAAAACUGCCGUUGAAACUGGCAGUCUUGAGUGGAGUAGAGGUAGGCGGAAUUCGUGGUGUAGCGGUGAAAUGCUUAGAUAUCACGAAGAACUCCGAUUGCGAAGGCAGUUCACUGGACUCCAACUGACGCUGAGGCACGAAAGUGUGGGUAUCAAACAGGAUUAGAUACCCGAGUAGUC